rnacentral:rRNA from 1 species
GGGCAGACUAGAGUGCAGUAGGGGAGACUGGAAUUCCUGGUGUAGCGGUGAAAUGCGCAGAUAUCAGGAGGAACACCGAUGGCGAAGGCAGGUCUCUGGGCUGUUACUGACGCUGAGGAGCGAAAGCAUGGGGAGCGAACAGGAUUAGAUACCCUGGUAGUCCAUGCCGUAAACGUUGGGCACUAGGUGUGGGGGACAUUCCACGUUUUCCGCGCCGUAGCUAACGCAUUAAGUGCCCCGCCUGGGGAGUACGGCCGCAAGGCUAAAACUCAAAGGAAUUGACGGGGGCCCGCACAAGCGGCGGAGCAUGCGGAUUAAUUCGAUGCAACGCGAAGAACCUUACCAAGGCUUGACAUUCACCGGACCGCCCCAGAGAUGGGGUUUCCCUUCGGGGCUGGUGGACAGGUGGUGCAUGGUUGUCGUCAGCUCGUGUCGUGAGAUGUUGGGUUAAGUCCCGCAACGAGCGCAACCCUCGUUCUAUGUUGCCAGCACGUGAUGGUGGGGACUCAUAGGAGACUGCCGGGGUCAACUCGGAGGAAGGUGGGGAUGACGUCAAAUCAUCAUGCCCCUUAUGUCUUGGGCUUCACGCAUGCUACAAUGGCCGGUACAAAGGGUUGCGAUACUGUGAGGUGGAGCUAAUCCCAAAAAGCCGGUCUCAGUUCGGAUUGAGGUCUGCAACUCGACCUCAUGAAGUCGGAGUCGCUAGUAAUCGCAGAUCAGCAACGCUGCGGUGAAUACGUUCCCGGGCCUUGUACACACCGCCCGUCAAGUCACGAAAGUUGGUAACACCCGAAGCCG